GUGGGGAAUAUUGGACAAUGGGCGCAAGCCUGAUCCAGCCAUGCCGCGUGAGUGAUGAAGGCCUUAGGGUUGUAAAGCUCUUUUGUCCGGGAAGAUAAUGACUGUACCGGAAGAAUAAGCCCCGGCUAACUUCGUGCCAGCAGCCGCGGUAAUACGAAGGGGGCUAGCGUUGUUCGGAAUCACUGGGCGUAAAGCGCACGUAGGCGGACCAUUAAGUCAGGGGUGAAAGCCUGGAGCUCAACUCCAGAACUGCCUUUGAUACUGAUGGUCUCGAGUAUGGAAGAGGUUGGUGGAACUGCGAGUGUAGAGGUGAAAUUCGUAGAUAUUGGGAAGAACACCAGUGGCGAAGGCGGCUCACUGGACCGACAUUGACGCUGAGGCGCGAAAGCGUGGGGAGCAAACAGGAUUAGAUACCCGAGUAGUCC
rnacentral:rRNA from 1 species